rnacentral:rRNA from 1 species
CGAAAGCCUGACGGAGCAACGCCGCGUGAGGGAGGAAGGCCUUUGGGUUGUAAACCUCUUUUGUUAGGGAAGAAGAAAGUGACGGUACCUAACGAAUAAGCAUCGGCUAACUCCGUGCCAGCAGCCGCGGUAAUACGGAGGAUGCAAGCGUUAUCCGGAAUCAUUGGGCGUAAAGAGUCCGUAGGUGGCAAUUCAAGUCUGUGGUCAAAGACCAGAGCUUAACUCUGGAAAGGCCAUGGAAACUGAAGAGCUAGAGUUCGGGAGGGGUAGAGGGAAUUCCCAGUGUAGCGGUGAAAUGCGUAGAGAUUGGAAAGAACACCAGUGGCGAAGGCGCUCUACUGGACCGAAACUGACACUGAGGGACGAAAGCUAAGGUAGCG